CCUACGGGGAGCAGCAGUCGAGAAUCAUUCACAAUGGGGGAAACCCUGAUGGUGCGACGCCGCGUGGGGGAAUGAAGGUCUUCGGAUUGUAAACCCCUGUCAUGUGGGAGCAAAUUAAAAAGAUAGUACCACAAGAGGAAGAGACGGCUAACUCUGUGCCAGCAGCCGCGGUAAUACAGAGGUCUCAAGCGUUGUUCGGAAUCACUGGGCGUAAGGCGUGCGUAGGCUGUUUCGUAAGUCGUGUGUGAAAGGCGCGGGCUCAACCCGCGGACGGCACAUGAUACUGCGAGACUAGAGUAAUGGAGGGGGAACCGGAAUUCUCGGUGUAGCAGGGAAAUGCGUAGAUAUCGAGAGGAACACUCGUGGCGAAGGCGGGUUCCUGGACAUUAACUGACGCUGAGGCACGAAGGCCAGGGGAGCGAAAGGGAUUAGAUACCCGAGUAGUC
rnacentral:rRNA from 1 species